rnacentral:rRNA from 1 species
GAUGAAUGCUGGCGGCGCGCCUAACACAUGCAAGUCGAGCGGUAACAGGGGUAAUUUAUUACCUGCUGACGAGCGGCGGACGGCUGAGUAACGCGUGGGAACAUGCCCCAAAGUGAGGAAUAAGCACCGGAAACGGUGUCUAAUGCCGCAUAUGAUCUUAGGAUUAAAGGAUUUAUCCGCUUUGGGAGUGGCCCGCGUUCGAUUAGGUAGUUGGUGAGGUAAAGGCUCACCAAGCCCACGAUCGAUAACUGGUCUGAGAGGAUGAUCAGUCAGACUGGAACUGAGAUACGGUCCAGACUCCUACGGGAGGCAGCAGUGAGGAAUCUUCCACAAUGGGCGAAAGCCUGAUGGAGCGACGCCGCGUGCAGGAUGAAGGCUUUCGGGUCGUAAACUGCUUUUAUAAGUGAAGAAUAUGACGGUAACUUAUGAAUAAGCACCGGCUAACUACGUG